UUGAUAUAUGAGAAGUUACCAAAAGAUAUCGCAAGCCUGACAUGUCUUCCUCCUUGACCUUUUUAUAGCUUCAGUGAAUGCUAUAUCUAAUAUCUUUGCUUAUCAGCAAGGGAGUUCCAGAAUCGCAUAUUAUCUUUCUUAACGUCAUAGCAGCACCUCAAGGGAUUCACGGGCUCUGCAAGAAACAUCCAAUGGUCUGGGAGAAUUCGCAGACCAUUACUUUGGUACAGACAACUCAAAAAAGUAUCAAGAAUAUCCAGGAAUGCCGAUUACUUAGUUCCAUUUUUCUGAUUUAAAGACGGUUGCUUGAGAGCUCAUGGCUGUGGACUUCGUUAGAAAACACCCGACAUCCCUUUGUGAAAGAGUCAUAACACUCCAAAAACAGCGAAGAAUGAAGGUCUCAACGGGGCUUUCACAGUUAGCCAAGACAAGGAUCUAUUACAACAUUCAAAAGAAGUGGACAAGUUGCAGCUCAUCUCGAAAAAGCUGCAAGACUAGCUAGGAAAAAAUAUUGAGGGACUCAAAAAAGUUCUCACCUCCUAACCUCGUUUCUAACUGCAGGUCACUAUCGCCAUAUCCACCUGCACACGUAGCUCCAAAGAGAAGUGGGGAAUCUAGAAGUCUUCAAGAUUGUAGUGUUCAAACUUCUCAGAACCAGGUAGACUAUAAAACUAUUAAAUGCAAAUAAUUUUCCUGCAAAUCAAGGUGCUACCUCUCAAACAAUUAUUACCAUUUACGUCAUUUAACCCAAAUUUCUCUUCCACAUCCUCUUAUUAUUCAUAGCUAAAGCUAAACAAAACAGAGCUUUCAGGAUUCAACUUAUAAAAUUUAAACGUCAGCAAAGUAUGGCAAAAAGUAAUAUAUUUUCCUCUCCAACCAGAUACUCAUUAUAACACAUGCAUAAAUUAUACUUUUUUCCUGCAUAUGCACGGAGCAAAUCACAGUGUAUUUUUUGUGUGGCAAAUAAAUAAUGCUAUUAUUUCUAACAAAGCCAAACGCACCGUCCAUGAACAGCAGGACCACUUCAACCACGUCCAAAGAACAUAGGAACCAGAAAAAGCAACAGCUCCAGCAAUUGAGAUUUGGUAACAUGUCCUAUAUCUAAUACCUUUGUGGGGACAGGUGAAGCAGUAAGGAUAGUCAACUAGCAUGCCAAUAGGAGGUUCUACAUAUGUUGUAACAAGGAAGUUGAGCUCCUACCACUCCGCGAACUUCCUUCACCUUUGAAAGAGCUCCUUGACGCACCAAUGUUCCGAGUUUUAAUACGUGUUGCGAAUGGAAUGAUUGCUUUUACUUCAUCGGGUGCUCAUGUCGAUCAUACUAUCACUGGAAAACCUGGCCAUUCAUUUACCGAAUACAUGGUCAAAACCAACACCGUAUCGGUUCACUCUUGUAUGUUGACGAAGAACCACCACAGUAUCUCCAGCUAUAUAUUUUUAUACUGUAAAUAAAAUAGAAAAAGAAGAAAGCCUUAUGA